UGAGGGAUAUUGCACAAUGGGGGAAACCCUGAUGCAGCGACGCCGCGUGGGUGAUGAAGGACUUCGGUUCGUAAAACCCUUUUACAGGUGACGAGACAAGGACGGUAGCCUGUGAAUAAGCCUCGGCUAACUACGUGCCAGCAGCCGCGGUAAAACGUAGGAGGCAAGCGUUAUCCGGAGUUACUGGGCGUAAAGGGCGCGCAGGUGGUUUGGUAAGUGUGGCGUGAAAGCUCCCGGCUAAACCGGGAGAGGUCGAAACAGACUGCCAGACUCGAGAGUGACAGAAGUACGCGGAAUUCGGGGUGUAGCGGUGAAAUGUGUAGAGAUCCCGAGGAACACCAGUGGUGAAAACGGCGUACUGGGUCAUAUCUGACACUGAGGCGCGAAAGCUUGGGGAGCGAACGGG
rnacentral:rRNA from 1 species